UACGUAGGGUGCGAGCGUUGUCCGGAAUUACUGGGCGUAAAGCGCACGUAGGCGGAUUUGUUAGUCAGGGGUGAAAUCCCGGGGCUCAACCUCGGAACUGCCUUUGAUACUGCAAAUCUCGAGUCCGAUAGAGGUGGGUGGAAUUCCUAGUGUAGAGGUGAAAUUCGUAGAUAUUAGGAAGAACACCGGUGGCGAAGGCGGCCCACUGGAUCGGUACUGACGCUGAGGUGCGAAAGCGUGGGGAGCAAACAGG
rnacentral:rRNA from 1 species